UCUACGGAGAGUUUGAUCCUGGCUCAGGAUGAACGCUGGCGGCGUGCCUAAUACAUGCAAGUCGAACGAGGCCCUUUGUAUUCGUACAAAGGUGUCCUAGUGGCGAACGGGUGAGUAACACGUAGGUGACCUGCCCCGAAGAGGGGGACAACCCCGGGAAACUGGGGCUAAUACCCCAUAACCUCCAGGGAGUUAGAGGGCCGGUAGGGUAAUGGCCUACCAAGGCGACGACGGGUAGGGGACCUGAGAGGGUGGCCCCCCACACUGGCACUGAAACACGGGCCAGACACCUACGGGUGGCAGCAGUAGGGAAUAUUGCCCAAUGGGCGAAAGCCUGAGGCAGCAACGCCGCGUGCGCGAUGAAGGCCUUCGGGUUGUAAAGCGCUUUUCUGGGGGAAGAGGAAGGACGGUACCCCAGGAAUAAGUCUCGGCUAACUA
rfam:Anaerolineae bacterium SM23_ 63 WORSMTZ_2097, whole genome shotgun sequence.